UUUACUGAGCAGCUCUCGUCCAUUUCUUCAUCAGCCAAACAACCCUUGUUUCCGUCUUCCUCUCUCAGCUAAUGGAAGCUGAAACCAGCGGCCACACUCACCUCCAUCAGCUCUCUCUAUCGCGUCUCUCUCGUUAAAAGAAACGGACAGCAGAUCAGCCGCACCUAUUCCCUCCUCUCUCUCGCCGGCGGGUCAGUGAGACCCGUGGUGGCGACGGCAACGCAGCAGCUGCAACCUCCACCUUCUUCCUUUCCUCCCUCCUUCGUUUUUAGCCGGAAGUAGAUGGACAGUGGCCGGCGACCUCCUCCAGCGAACAACAGAGUCAACGGAUAGAGUGAAGCAGGGGUGUGGCAAUGCUCCGGCAUUCUCAAGGUCUGGCGUGGCCGUUUUUCCGGUGGAACGAAGCAGAUUCGGCGACCCAGGUGUUCCUCCGGCGAGCUCCUCUCCCGGCGGCGUCCUUCGGUUCUCCGGCGACCCUGGUUCCGGCGAGAUAGCAGUGCAGUGGUUGUGCUCUCCUCGGCAGUUAUGGGUUCUUUGUUAAAGUGGUUAGCUCGGGAGUGAGUCAAAGAAUCAAGUGCUUAACUUUUGGAGCUCGGUUAAAGGUGGGCCCAGCAGUGUGAAGAAAUCGAGUUAGAUUAGUCUCGUAGAUAGAGAUGUCUAAACUCUAGUACCAUUGAUGCUAUGUAUGGAUUGUAGUUUUAUCGACUUUAUGUUUGAGGAUUGAUGUAGACUAUGUUGGGGUGACGUUUUUCCCCCUUACAUUUCCAAUAUUUAUUUUUAGUACCCAGACUUAAUCUUA